CACGUAGGGCGCAAGCGUUGUCCGGAAUUAUUGGGCGUAAAGAGCUCGUAGGCGGUCUGUUGCGUCCGCUGUGAAAACCCGGGGCUUAACCCUGGGCUGGCAGUGGAUACGGACAGACUAGAGGUAGGUAGGGGAGAAUGGAAUUCCCGGUGUAGCGGUGAAAUGCGCAGAUAUCGGGAGGAACACCGGUGGCGAAGGCGGUUCUCUGGGCCUUACCUGACGCUGAGGAGCGAAAGCCAGGGGAGCGAACGGG
rnacentral:rRNA from 1 species